AAGUGAUAAGACGUCACUAUGAGAUUAGGCUGUAAAGACUGUGUCUUCAGUCUUGGGCACUGUCUCUCACUUUUGCCCCCCUCUUUUAUCUUUCGUGCUGGGAAGUGAGCUGCCAUGCUGUGAACAGCCAGCCCUGUGAAGAGGACCACAGCCAGUAAGGAACCGAAGCCUGGCAACAACCAUGUGAGUGAGCUUGGAAGAGGAUUCCUCCUGCAGUUGUGCCUUCCGGUGAGAUAGCAGCACUGGACCACAAUCUCAUGAGAGAUCUUGAGCCAGAGGCACACAGCUAAGCCACGCCCAGAUUCCUGACCCACAGGAACUGUGAGAUGACAACUGCUGUUUUAAGUGUGCUGGACCAGUCAAAGAAUCCUGCGUCAAAAUCGAGAGAACGAACAAGCCUUCAUCGCCAUGGCACAUUUAUAUAAAAAGAAAGGGAGAGAUGUUGCAGGAAGUCAGAGACCCCAAACAGAAGGACCGGCUGAAACCAUGGCAGAAAAACGUGGAUUGUGAAGAGUUUAUAGACAUUUAUUAGUUCCCCAAAUUAAUACUUUUGUAAUUUCUUAUGCCUGUCUUUACUGCAAUCUCUAAACAUAAAUUGUAAAGAUUUCAUAGACACUUAUCACUUCCCCAAUCAAUACCCUUGUGAUUUCCUAUGCCUGUCUUUAAUCUCUUAAUCCUGUCAGCCUAAGGCUAUGUCACCUUAGGACCCUGUAAUAAUUGCAUUAACUGCACAAAUUGUACAGCAUGUGUGUUUGAGCAACAUGAAAUGUAGGCACCUUGAAAAAAGAAC
rnacentral:lncRNA from 10 species